AGUGAACGCUGGCGGUAGGCCUAACACAUGCAAGUCGAACGGCAGCACAGUAAGAGCUUGCUCUUACGGGUGGCGAGUGGCGGACGGGUGAGGAAUACAUCGGAAUCUACUUUUUCGUGGGGGAUAACGUAGGGAAACUUACGCUAAUACCGCAUACGACCUACGGGUGAAAGCAGGGGAUCUUCGGACCUUGCGCGAUUGAAUGAGCCGAUGUCGGAUUAGCUAGUUGGCGGGGUAAAGGCCCACCAAGGCGACGAUCCGUAGCUGGUCUGAGAGGAUGAUCAGCCACACUGGAACUGAGACACGGUCCAGACUCCUACGGGAGGCAGCAGUGGGGAAUAUUGGACAAUGGGCGCAAGCCUGAUCCGGCCAUACCGCGUGGGUGAAGAAGGCCUUCGGGUUGUAAAGCCCUUUUGUUGGGAAAGAAAAGCAGCAGGUUAAUACCCCGCUGUUCUGGCGGUACCCAAAGAAUAAGCACCGGCUAACUUCGUG
rnacentral:rRNA from 1 species